rnacentral:lncRNA from 1 species
CGAUGAUGCCACAGACGAAGCUGUUGAAGACGAGUUUAAUGAAAAUGAUGAUGUUUCUAGUGAUGACGAGAAUGUCGAUGUAUCCGAUUGAUGUAUUUGUUUUAUGAAUAAGAUGAGGGAGUUUGUUUUAUGAAUAAGAUAAUGUGGGGUUUAUUUUAUGAAUAAGGUAAUGUGGGAGUUUGUUUUAUGAAUAAGCAAAUGUGGGAAUUGUGGUUUGGAAUGGAAAUAAAGAUGGGG